AAAAAUCACCGUAUUGGUCCAUGGGAGAAGUGCCACCACGCAGCUCCUUUGCUCCAAGGGAGGCAGUGCAGUCUGGCAGUGACAUGGCUGAGAACAUUGAUCUGAAGCUGUAUCCUGAAAUGCUGAGACCAUUGGUGAGCUGUAGGAGGCCUUCAGCAACCACCAGCUUUACUCCAAAAGGAAAAGGGGGCAGGACACGAGGUUUUGAAUGAACAGUUAGACUCAGGCUCCUUUCCUCAAAGGCUUGAAAUCAUGGUCUGGCAGAAGGAUCCACCAACAUGUGUGAAAUGGACACAGGAGAGCAGGGAAGAGAAGAACCAUUUUUCUGGUGCCAGGUCCUAGCCUGAUGUUCCCUGUAACAGAGCCUGACCUUGCAGUUCUGAUUGCCAGUCAGUCUGGUGCCCUGUGGCCUUGGCUUUCACCCUGCCUUCCUCUCUGAGGAGAGAAUUCCUCUUGGGCAGCAAAAAAAAGCACACUGGCUGUGGCACAGUGAGAAAUUCUGCCUUUCUGCUGCCCACACUCUGCACGCCCUGUGAGAAGGAAGUCUGCCUGAAAUCUUCCCCAGCCCUUAAAAACAGAAACGGGCAUGGCACAUACCAGUGUUCAUUGAAUUGGGAUUGAUUUCUAAUAUUCUUUGAUCAAACCUCAAGUUUGAUCAUGUUUUCAUGAUCAAGUUCUCAUGUCUGAGCCUUGAAUUUGGGUUAUUGACGUUUUAGAAAGACUACUUUCUGGUCUGCUUCUCUAGGACCACUCAGAACUCUUCAAAUAAAACCAGAUCUGUGGUUUUCUCCACUUCCCUACUGGGCUGCUUUGAUUUCUAAGCUCUGAGUUUAACAAAUAGAGGCCACUUUGCUUCCUCCUACAGAAAAGUAUUGUCGCCAGAAUGAUGUGAGGCAAGGAAAUUUUGCUGAAGCCUUGAUCUGCAAUGUUUUAUUUCAAGGGAGGUUUUUUGCUUACUUUCAUGUCUAUAUAUAGCUUUCUCCAGGAGCACUUUUAUGAGACCCAGACUCUGUUAUGAUUGAAGUUGAUUUUGUAUUCCUAGUUUUCCCCUUUUUUAUUGGAGAAACUUCCCUACCCAGCUGUGGAAGGGAGCCCAGCACAAAGACCCACAGCUGCUUGUGGACCUGUGCCAGGCUCUCCAUGCUGACACCUACACAGGGCUUUCUUUGGGCAUCAGAACAGGUUAUUCAAUUGCUUGUGUAAAGCUGGGCUUUUGAAACCCCAUCCCCCAGGAACUCUAAGGGAUACUUCCUGUUCAUUUUUUCUCUUUAAAGCUCUUUAUCAAUGUGGUAGAUAGAGAUGUAGUUCCCUGUUUCAUGAGGUAUUUGGUAUCACGAUUGUAAAGUGAUAUAAAUAUUUUAGUUAUCAGCAGUUGAUAGGCAUUCAAGAUAGGUUGUGGGAUGAUUACAUUUGAUAUCUUUGUGAAGCAAUGGUAAAAAUAUCAUGAAUAAUAUAUUUUAAAAUAUAUUCUGUUUUAUAAGGAAAUUACUUUGGUUUGAAUUAGUUGGAAACCUAUGGAACAACCUAAUAAUGAAACUGGAAAGAAAGUUUCCCCUUUUAAAUAUACCCUCAAUAUCAGGUCUCCUUAGUCAAGAAAAGAUUGCAGUUGAAAUUAAUUUUGUGAAGAUCCAGUCAAAGCAAAAAUGACACUGAAAUGCAUUGUGUUGAUUCUUACAAGAUAAACAUUCUUUCUGGAGCUGUUCUGGAAGGACAUUUCACCUGGAACAAGAAAAUCAGGAUCAGAAGAGAGAUCCCACAAAGGUUCCUUAAUGCUGCUUGGAGGCUGAUCUCUGCUCUCAUCCCUCCAUUCCAGUGCCAAAGUCAGUGGGCAGUGCUGGGGACCACCUACUCUCCCUUCUGGUGCUCCAACUGGAUCACUAGCACCAGGUUUUUGAGCAGCUGCACCACGAGCCCAGAGUGCUCAGGUUGGCUGGAGAUCCUGCACUG